rnacentral:rRNA from 1 species
AGAGUUUGAUCCUGGCUCAGAACGAACGCUGGCGGCAUGCCUAACACAUGCAAGUCGAACGAGAUCUUCGGGUCUAGUGGCGCACGGGUGCGUAACGCGUGGGAAUCUGCCCUUUGGUUCGGAAUAACAGUUGGAAACGACUGCUAAUACCGGAUGAUGACGAAAGUCCAAAGAUUUAUCGCCAGAGGAUGAGCCCGCGUAGGAUUAGCUAGUUGGUGUGGUAAAGGCGCACCAAGGCGACGAUCCUUAGCUGGUCUGAGAGGAUGAUCAGCCACACUGGGACUGAGACACGGCCCAGACUCCUACGGGAGGCAGCAGUGGGGAAUAUUGGACAAUGGGCGAAAGCCUGAUCCAGCAAUGCCGCGUGAGUGAUGAAGGCCUUAGGGUUGUAAAGCUCUUUUACCCGGGAUGAUAAUGACAGUACCGGAGAAA